rnacentral:rRNA from 1 species
UACGUAGGACCCCGAGCGUUAUCCGGAAUUACUGGGUGUAAAGGGUGCGUAGGCGGACUUGUGCGUCGAGGGUUAAAUCUCCAAGCUUAACUUGGAACCUGCCUUCGAUACGGCAAGCCUUGAGUGCGAGAGAGGAUGGAUAGAAUUCCUGGUGUAGCGGUGAAAUGCGUAGAUAUCAGGAGGAAUACCAGUGGCGAAGGCGGUCAUCUGGCUCGUUACUGACGCUGAGGCACGAAAGCGUGGGGAUCAAACAGGAUUAGAAACCCCC